UUUGUCCCUGUCUCCUAGAGUGCCCGCUCACAUAGCCUCCGGGUAAGGGAAGAGGGUGCGAAUCCCUCGCGGUCCCGCCGCUGUCAGUGGGGACGAAACCCGCCAAGACCACUGUCCGAUUCAUCGGAUGGGAAGGCGCGGGGAGUAGGGCGAACCAUGAGCCAGAAUACCUGCUUGGAGGAAUACCAACUG
rnacentral:ncRNA from 1 species